rnacentral:rRNA from 1 species
UACGUAGGUGGCAAGCGUUUGUCCGGAUUUAUUGGGUUUAAAGGGUGCGUAGGCGGCCUUUUAAGUCAGUGCUGAAAUACUCUAGCUUAACUAGAGGGGUGGCAUUGAUACUGAAAGGCUUGAGUGAAGUCGAGGUAGGCGGAAUUGACGGUGUAGCGGUGAAAUGCUUAGAUAUCGUCAAGAACACCGAUAGUGAAGACAGCUUACUAGACUUCAACUGACGCUGAGGCACGAAAGUGUGGGGAUCAAACAGG